rnacentral:tRNA from 3 species
GGACCCGUAGCUCAACGGCAGAGCAGCGGACUCAUAAUCCGUUGGUUGGUGGUUCGAAUCCGCCCGGGUCCA